UGCCAGCCGCCGCGGUAAUACGGAGGGUGCAAGCGUUAUCCGGAAUCAUUGGGUUUAAAGGGUCCGCAGGCGGACGUAUAAGUCAGUGGUGAAAUCUUGCGGCUCAACCGUAAAACUGCCAUUGAUACUGAAUUUCUUGAGUAUACUGAGGUAGGCGGAAUAUGUAGUGUAGCGGUGAAAUGCUUAGAUAUUACAUAGAACACCGAUUGCGAAGGCAGCUUACUAUAGUAUUACUGACGCUGAUGCACGAAAGCGUGGGGAGCGAACAGGAUUAGAUA
rnacentral:rRNA from 1 species